rnacentral:rRNA from 1 species
GACGAACCUUGCUAACGUUAUUCGGAAUUACUGGGCUUAAAGGGUGCGUAGGCGGUGCAGAAAGUUGGGUGUGAAAGCCCUCGGCUCAACCGAGGAAUUGCGCCCAAAACUACUGCACUAGAGGAAGACAGAGGUACGCGGAACUUAGGGUGGAGCGGUGAAAUGCGUAGAUAUCUGGAGGAAUACCGGUGGCGAAGGCGGCAUCCUGGACCGACAUUGACGCUGAACGGCGAAAGCUAGGGGAGCAAACGGG